GCGCAUGUUCUUACAUGACGCUUCUCACGAACGACUGUUUCAACAUGUAUAACCGGCAACGUCGCAACUGUAGAUCAUCCAUGAUUGCGGAGGUGAUUGCACUUCCCAAUAUUUUUUGCAGAUUUCAUAAUUGUAUGAUGGAAAGUUCUUUGCAAAGGCACGGUUGAAAUACAGGCUGUAUAAAAAGUAGACAAUUUUGAAACGGCUCUCAAUUUCACAAAUCCGUUCAUUUCAUGAAUUUUUUGUUAAAUAUAAAUUUUUUAGGUAC